rnacentral:rRNA from 1 species
UACGAAGGGGGCUAGCGUUGCUCGGAAUCACUGGGCGUAAAGCGCACGUAGGCGGAUUGCUAAGUCAGGGGUGAAAUCCUGGAGCUCAACUCCAGAACUGCCUUUGAUACUGGCGAUCUUGAGUCCGGGAGAGGUGAGUGGAACUCCGAGUGUAGAGGUGAAAUUCGUAGAUAUUCGGAAGAACACCGGUGGCGAAAGCGGCUCACUGGCCCGAUACUGACGCUCAUGUACGAAAGCGCGGGGAGCAAACAGG